GACGAACGCUGGCGGCGUGCUUAACACAUGCAAGUCGAACGGAAAGGCCCUGCUUUUGUGGGGUGCUCGAGUGGCGAACGGGUGAGUAACACGUGAGUAACCUGCCCUUGCCUUUGGGAUAACUUCAGGAAACUGGGGCUAUUACCGGAUAGGAGCUCCUGCUGCAUGGUGGGGGUUGGAAAGUUUCGGCGGUUGGGGAUGGACUCGCGGCUUAUCAGCUUGUUGGUGGGGUAGUGGCUUACCAAGGCUUUGACGGGUAGCCGGCCUGAGAGGGUGACCGGCCACAUUGGGACUGAGAUACGGCCCAGACUCCUACGGGAGGCAGCAGUGGGGAAUAUUGCACAAUGGGCGGAAGCCUGAUGCAGCAACGCCGCGUGCGGGAUGACGGCCUUCGGGUUGUAAACCGCUUUCGCCUGUGACGAAGCGUGAGUGACGGUAAUGGGUAAAGAAGCACCGGCUAACUACGUG
rnacentral:rRNA from 1 species